rnacentral:rRNA from 1 species
UCAGGACGAACGCUGGCGGCGUGCUUAACACAUGCAAGUCGAGCGGAAAGGCCCUUUCGGGGGUACUCGAGCGGCGAACGGGUGAGUAACACGUGAGUAAUCUGCCCCAGGCUCUGGGAUAGCCACCGGAAACGGUGAUUAAUACCGGAUAUGACGACUGAUCGCAUGGUUGGUUGUGGAAAGUUUUUUCGGCUUGGGAUGUGCUCGCGGCCUAUCAGCUUGUUGGUGGGGUAAUGGCCUACCAAGGCUUUGACGGGUAGCCGGCCUGAGAGGGUGACCGGCCACACUGGGACUGAGACACGGCCCAGACUCCUACGGGAGGCAGCAGUGGGGAAUAUUGGACAAUGGGCGGAAGCCUGAUCCAGCAACGCCGCGUGAGGGAUGACGGCCUUCGGGUUGUAAACCUCUUUCAGUGCAGACGAAGCGCAAGUGACGGUAG